GCUUGUCUCAAAGAUUAAGCCAUGCACGUGUUAGAUCAUUUGGUAAGAAGCAAUUUUUAUGAACAAUAAUCUGCGGAUGGCUCAAGAUAACAGUUAUAAACUUGGCUAUCAGCCUUUUAUACGGAUAACACCGUCAAAUGCGGUGAUAAUACGUGUCCACGAAACCCUAGCGGGUUGACGAUGUGAUAAUUGGAAAAUGUCGCAUCAGCAGAUAGCGGCCUUCGGGCUGUUAUUAUAGACAACGUUAGUUGCCUGAAAGAGGUAUUUCUAACUUAUCAGGUACGUUGUUUCAGUAAGGGUGAAACAAGCCGACCACGAGUACGGCGAAUCAGUGUUCGAUUCCGGAGAGGGAGCCUGAGAGAUGGCUACUACAUCUAAGGAAGGCAGCAGG
rnacentral:rRNA from 1 species